GCCGAAACGGUGGACUUGUUCCGCCGUCUGCCGGAGAUGGUCUCCCGGCACUGAUGAGGCAGAC
rnacentral:hammerhead_ribozyme from 1 species